UAAUACAUGGGGUGCAAACGUUGCUCGGAAUUAUUGGGCGUAAAGCGCGCGUAGGCGGUUAUCUAAGUCGGAUGUGAAAGCCCUCGGCUUAACUGAGGAAGUGCACCCGAAACUGGAUAGCUAGAGUACGAAAGAGGGUCGCGGAAUUCCCGGUGUAGAGGUGAAAUUCGUAGAUAUCGGGAGGAACACCGGUGGCGAAGGCGGCGACCUGG
rnacentral:rRNA from 1 species